rnacentral:rRNA from 2 species
CAUGCAAGUCGAGCGGUAGCACAGAGAGCUUGCUCUCGGGUGACGAGCGGCGGACGGGUGAGUAAUGUCUGGGAAACUGCCUGAUGGAGGGGGAUAACUACUGGAAACGGUAGCUAAUACCGCAUAACGUCGCAAGACCAAAGUGGGGGACCUUCGGGCCUCAUGCCAUCAGAUGUGCCCAGAUGGGAUUAGCUGGUAGGUGGGGUAACGGCUCACCUAGGCGACGAUCCCUAGCUGGUCUGAGAGGAUGACCAGCCACACUGGAACUGAGACACGGUCCAGACUCCUACGGGAGGCAGCAGUGGGGAAUAUUGCACAAUGGGCGCAAGCCUGAUGCAGCCAUGCCGCGUGUGUGAAGAAGGCCUUCGGGUUGUAAAGCACUUUCAGCGGGGAGGAAGGCGGUGAGGUUAAUAACCUCAUCGAUUGACGUUACCCGCAGAAGAAGCACCGGCUAACUCCGUGCCAGCAGCCGCGGUAAUACGGAGGGUGCAAGCGUUAAUCGGAAUUACUGGGCGUAAAGCGCACGCAGGCGGUCUGUCAAGUCGGAUGUGAAAUCCCCGGGCUCAACCUGGGAACUGCAUUCGAAACUGGCAGGCUAGAGUCUUGUAGAGGGGGGUAGAAUUCCAGGUGUAGCGGUGAAAUGCGUAGAGAUCUGGAGGAAUACCGGUGGCGAAGGCGGCCCCCUGGACAAAGACUGACGCUCAGGUGCGAAAGCGUGGGGAGCAAACAGGAUUAGAUACCCUGGUAGUCCACGCUGUAAACGAUGUCGAUUUGGAGGUUGUGCCCUUGAGGCGUGGCUUCCGGAGCUAACGCGUUAAAUCGACCGCCUGGGGAGUACGGCCGCAAGGUUAAAACUCAAAUGAAUUGACGGGGGCCCGCACAAGCGGUGGAGCAUGUGGUUUAAUUCGAUGCAACGCGAAGAACCUUACCUGGUCUUGACAUCCACAGAACUUUCCAGAGAUGGAUUGGUGCCUUCGGGAACUGUGAGACAGGUGCUGCAUGGCUGUCGUCAGCUCGUGUUGUGAAAUGUUGGGUUAAGUCCCGCAACGAGCGCAACCCUUAUCCUUUGUUGCCAGCGGUUAGGCCGGGAACUCAAAGGAGACUGCCAGUGAUAAACUGGAGGAAGGUGGGGAUGACGUCAAGUCAUCAUGGCCCUUACGACCAGGGCUACACACGUGCUACAAUGGCAUAUACAAAGAGAAGCGACCUCGCGAGAGCAAGCGGACCUCAUAAAGUAUGUCGUAGUCCGGAUUGGAGUCUGCAACUCGACUCCAUGAAGUCGGAAUCGCUAGUAAUCGUAGAUCAGAAUGCUACGGUGAAUACGUUCCCGGGCCUUGUACACACCGCCCGUCACACCAUGGGAGUGGGUUGCAAAAGAAGUAGGUAGCUUAACCUUCGGGAGGGCGCUACC